rnacentral:rRNA from 1 species
AGCUCCAAUAGCGUAUAUUAAAGUUGUUGCAGUUAAAAAGCUCGUAGUUGGAUCUCAGGUUUACGGCUGGGUGGUCCGGCUCGCGCCGGUUCACUGCUCAGCAGUACCUAAAUUUUUCGCCGGCUCUCUCCCGUGGGUGCUCUUCGCUGAGCGUCCCGGGUGGCCGGCGCGUUUACUUUGAAAAAAUUAGAGUGUUCAAAGCAGGCCAAAGCAGCCUGAAUAAUGGUGCAUGGAAUAAUGGAAUAGGACCUCGGUUCUAUUUGGUUGGUUCUCGGAGCGGAGGUAAUGAUUAACAGGGACAAACGGGGGCAUUCGUAUUGCUGCGUUAGAGGUGAAAUUCUUGGAUCGCAGCAAGACGAGCUACUGCGAAAGCAUUUGUCAAGAAUGUUUUCA